rnacentral:misc_RNA from 1 species
UCUCGGUCUACUGGUUGGCAG